rnacentral:misc_RNA from 1 species
GAAAUGCGAUAAUUAAUGUGAAUUGCAGAAUUCAGUGAAUCAUCGAGUCUUUGAACGCACAUUUCGCCCCCUGGUAUUCCGGGGGGCAUGCCUGUCCGAGCGUCAUUGCUGCCCUCAAGCACGGCUUGUGUGUUGGGCUUCCGUCCCUGGCAACGGGGACAGGCCCAAAAGGCAGUGGCGGCACCAUGUCUGGUCCUCGAGCGUAUGGGGCUUUGUCACCCGCUCCCGUAGGUCCAGCUGGCAGCUAGCCUCGCAACCAAUCUUUUUAACCAGGUUGACCUCGGAUCAGGUAGGGAUACCCGCUGAACUUAAGC